AUUGAACGCUGGCGGCAGGCCUAACACAUGCAAGUCGAACGAGUGGCGGACGGGUGAGUAAUGUCUGGGAAACUGCCUGAUGGAGGGGGAUAACUACUGGAAACGGUAGCUAAUACCGCAUACCAUCGGAUGUGCCCAGAUGGGAUUAGCUAGUAGGUGGGGUAAAGGCUCACCAAGGCCACGAUGCAUAGCCGACCUGAGAGGGUGAUGGGCCAAACUGGGACUGAGACACGGCCCAGACUCCUACGGGAGGCAGCAGUAGGGAAUCGUCGGCAAUGGACGAAAGUCGGACCGAGCAACGCCGCGUGUAUGAAGAAGGCCUUCGGGUUGUAAAGUACUUUCAGCGGGGAGGCGUUACCCGCAGAAGAAGCACCGGCUAACUCCGUGCCAGCCGCCGCGGUAAUAC
rnacentral:rRNA from 1 species